rnacentral:misc_RNA from 1 species
GAUGAAGAACGUAGCGAAAUGCGAUAAGUAAUGCGAAUUGCAGAAUUUCCGUGAGUCAUCGAAUCUUUGAACGCACAUUGCGCCCAUUGGCAUUCCGAUGGGCAUGCCUGUUCGAGCGUCAUUAUCCUCCCUCAAACCCCUGGGUUUGGUGUUGGACUGUGUGGUGCCUGGCACCACUGGUCUCAAAGACAAUGACGGCGUCCGUGGGACCCUCGGUGCAACGAGCUUUUCGAUGCACGCGUCGAGUGGACAGUCUCUCCGGGCCGGUCACCUCUCCAAUUUUUCUCAGGUUGACCUCGGAUCAGGUAGGAAUACCCGCUGAACUUAAGCAUAUCAAUAAGCGGAGGA